CCAGUCGGCCGGACGGCCGCUCCUGCUCCGGCGGGGGAGGAAAGUCCGGGCUCCACGGAAACACGGUGCCGGAUAACGUCCGGCGGGGGCGACCCCAGGGAAAGCGCCACAGAGAUCGAACCGCCGCAUGCUUGCGCAUGCGGUAAGGGUGAAAAGGUGCGGUAAGAGCGCACCGCGGACCCGGCAACGGGGACGGCAUGGCAAGCCCCACCGGGAGCAAGACCGAAUAGGGACGAUGCUCGCCCGCAAGGGAGGAGGGGCCGGUUUCCAGGCCCAGUCGUCCGGGUUGGUUGCUCGAGGCGCGCAGCAAUGCGCGUCCCAGAGGAAUGGCCGUCACGUCGGGAGAGCGAUCUCCCGGCCAUCCAAAACCCGGCUUACAGGCCGGCUGGCACC
rnacentral:RNase_P_RNA from 1 species